GUGUCAGCAGCCGCGGUAAUACAGAGAGUGCGAACGUUGUUCGGAAUUACUGGGCUUAAAGCGCACGUAGGCGGCAUCGUAAGUGUCUGGUGAAAUCCCACGGCUCACCCGUGGAACUGCCAGGCAUACUGUGAUGCUCGAGUGUGGUAGGGGAGAGCGGAACUCCUGGUGGAGCGGUGAAAUGCGUAGAUAUCAGGAGGAACACCGGUGGCGAAGGCGGCUCUCUGGUCCACAACUGACGCUGAGGUGCGAAAGCUAGGGGAGCAAACGGGAUUAGAAACCCGUGUAGUCC
rnacentral:rRNA from 1 species